GGUGGAGGUUGUGGUGGUUGAUGUUAGCCGUCGAGGAACUUGAUCGUCAAUUAUUUUCACAAUUAGAUUUGAAGCAGCAAAUUCGGUUCAGAAACCGGAUACUCGGCAACCGAACCGAAAUCCAUUUGUAACGACAGCAAACAUUAAGCAGUUAAAAUGUAUAUUCUUUUCAGGUGCAAUACAAUAUGAAUAUUAACUUUAUUUGAAGUCUUUUA